CCACUGACAGCAGGGAUGAUGACUGAAGGGAAUAAAAUGAAUUUAUGUUAAAUCUAAAUUAAUAAAGGUUUCUACAAGAACAUGGUGGAUUUAAAUCCUCUUCAUUUUCUUCACACAGGAACAAGCUCUGCUGAUCAUUUCCAUGUGAAACUCUGGGCCUGAAGAUGCUUGGACAGAGUGUUUGGAUUUCUCCUCCGAAUCGGACUGAGUGCCCCCCCCCCCCCCCGACACACACACACACCGUCUGUCCCUGUACAGAGGAGACGGAGACAAGUCAGAAGAGUCACAACCUUCACUCAACAUCUCGGUGGAAGGAAAUCCCAUGUUCAUGCAGUGAAUCACCUCCUCACUGGGGAGUCUGGGACAUGUUUUGAAACAAUGAGUCAUUUGUAUUUUUAUUCGCAUAAUUGUUGAUGAUUUAUUCACGAAUCCAAACAAUUUUCAUUCCAGGUUCAAAAAGUACAACUCGUUUGUGUAACUUGCGGCUUUACUGCCAAAUAAAUACUUUUAGUGGCAUAUAAAAUUAAAUACAAAAAUAACUAUAAUUUUAAAUAGUAAAUAGCAUAAAUAAUAAAUCAGCUCCACAGUGUUGCUCCGUCAUUGUCUUCAUCGGCGAGCUCUCCUGGUACGAGAAAUACGUGAAUGGCACUGAAUCUGCAAUGUGGAGGAGAGGAAACAGGAAAACGCAAUUAGAUAAGUCUAAAGAAAUCAGGAAAUGCUUUAUCAUUUGUUGUAAUGAUAAACCGAACUGUUUAUUUAUAGCUUCUUUUAGUUCCACUCGUUUUCUACCCAUUUAAAGAGAAGCUUGUGUACAGCUCUAUAGAAUACAAGGGAUAUCCACCAUCUUAGUAAUUAUCUCUGUAACACCACUGUUUAAAGAUACUGU